rnacentral:rRNA from 1 species
GACGUAGGGCGCGAGCGUUGUCCGGAUUUAUUGGGCGUAAAGAGCUCGUAGGCGGCUUGUCGCGUCGACUGUGAAAACCCGUGGCUCAACCAUGUGGUCUGCAGUCGAUACGGGCAGGCUAGAAUUCGGUAGGGGAGACUGGAAUUCCUGGUGUAGCGGUGAAAUGCGCAGAUAUCAGGAGGAACACGGGUGGCGAAGGCGGGUCUCUGGGCCGAUAUUGACGCUGAGGAGCGAAAGCGUGGGGAGCGAACAGG